UCGGGCCCGGUGUGGUUACUGCCGCUACUGUUGCCGAUGCUCCCGGAGACCACACGGCUGGGCCGGUCAGCAGCAGGGAAGAGGACAAAGCAGGAUGUCGCGGCCGGUCUUUCCGGCUCAAGGUUAGGGAUCAGAGAGAUACAAGGAUGGACACUAAAAGAUGAAGCCAAGUAAGAACUGGGCAAGAAACUGUUGCUGACCAGUACUCACACAUCUAGAUCAUCAUACCAGUUGCCAUCUGCUUUGUAGCAAGACAUAAAAAUAAUGGUUUGGAGCAUGAUGCAUAUUGUGUCAGGAAGAUUUAUUCUGGAGGAGUCUGGAACAGGAACUUUAGUGUGAGGCAUAAACAUAUUUUGGGAUUAAAGUACAUCAUUCAGCUCUGCUACCACGGAUAUGAUUGGCUUAGAGAAGAUUGAAACUUUGUCCUUCUGUGCAGGCCUGGCUGUUUUCACUUCAUACUUGUUUCCUGUAUGCUGUUGCAAAUGGAAGAGUUUCCUUCCUUUGGUGUGGCAGGCUACCACAUCUUCACCUAUCCAGAGGAGUUUUGAUUUGAUGGAGCCCCAUAGAUUGGUGUAUGCACUUAUUCCUUUUGUGCCUUACUUCCUGGUCUGGCCACUCUGGAGGUCUUCACCUUCUUCAUCUUCAGCUGUUAACAGCUAGCCAUCAUUCUUGGCCUCACAGCUUCCACUUGGAUGCACUUGUUCCUCACUCUUGCUGCUGCUUUGUGUUAUCAGCUCAGCUUACACUACAAAACUGAGGUAGAUAUCCAGUGGUGUCAACAUGUAGUUUCCACAGUGUGUAAGGUUUUUGAGAGUAACCAGGAGAUGGAAGCAUUGGACUAAGGAAUGAACACUUCCAUUCCCGUCCAAGGCUGCUGUGGGAGCCAUGUGCUGCUGUACCUGCUGUGCCAUUACCAGGUAGAAGAAAGAAAUGAUACACAGAAUGCUUCUAGUUCUUCAGCUGUUAGGAUUCUACUUCUCGCAUCACUGAUCGUCCCUGGAUUUGCCACCAUAGGAAUGGACUUAAAGCAUAGAAGAAGCAAGUGGGAGUGAGUCAUGAAGACUUGUUCCAAGGCUACAGAAAGCCCGCGCAUCCAGGCACUAAGUAUAAUUGUUGGAGUCCCUGGAAAAAUACCCAGAAAAGCCAUUGCAUGGAGCUGGGAAGAUGAAGCCCAAGUUACAGCAGAGGGACUAGGAUAUUGGAGAUUCAUUCUAGACUUGUGCUUAUCCACUGAGGAAAGCUGCAAGAACACAGUGGAACAAGCCCAAGACAGAAGUCACAUGUGCUGUAGGUGGCAGAACUGGAGUGCUACUACUACCCAAAUUUAGACCUCAAAUGGUCCAUCCUAUCAUGAUACAUGCUAGCCAUGGAGCUAGAGGAUUAGAUGUUAGUUGUAACUAGGGUUUUGUUUUGCUUUAAUCCAGCUGUUCCUUGCUGUUCUCCCAUUAUUUCCCAUUUAGAGUGGGGCUGUUUCUUCUUUUUAUGUAUAUUAGAAGUGUUCAACUUGUAUUUUGAUUUCAUAGGUGCUCAAAAUUAAGAAAUGGUCUGGAGCCUCAGAAGAGACUGAAUUUUUGAGCAGAGCUGUAACUGUUAAAGACUAUGAGAGCUUUUAGAGAGAGACUAAAUGAAUUCUGAGAUGAACAUGAGACUUUAUGAACCAGGGUAGAAUACUAAGGUGAUAUGUUUGGUGUUGGGUUGGCAGGAAGUGGAAUUAUAAUUUUUGUUACCAAUUUAACAGGAUUUAGAAUCACUAGGAGACAGCUCUGUGCUUGUAUGUAAGUGCAGAUCUAGACAGAUUUACCUUAGAAGGGAAAUUUUCCCUUAAAUAAAUGUUGUGACAUCCUAUGAACUGGAGUCCCACACAGAAUAAAAAGGAGAACUGAGAGGAGUACCAAUAUCAUCUCUUUAUACUUCCUUCUGCCACUUAUUGAAUAAUCAGGUGAGUGUAUUUCUGUUCGUCUGUUUAUGGGUUCUCCAUUCAUUUCUGGGUUGUGUCUUACGCUACCCCAGUAGUAAAUCUCAAUAGCCUUUGUCUGUAUAAUAAACUUUAAUAUCUGAUAGAGUGAU